UACGUAGGGACCAAGCGUUGUCCGGAAUCAUUGGGCGUAAAGAGCGUGUAGGCGGCUUGUUAAGUCUUGCGUGAAAUCUCGGGGCUCAACCCCGAGCGGUCGUGAGAAACUGGCAGGCUAGAGUGCGGGAGAGGAGAGUGGAAUUCCUGGUGAGCGGUGAAUGCGCAGAGUAUCAGGAAGAACACCCGUGGCGAAGGCGGCUCACUGGCCCGGUAGCUGACGCUGAGGUGCGAAGCGUGGGAGCAACAGGAUAG
rnacentral:rRNA from 1 species